GGGACAACCCGCCGAAAGGCGGGCUAAACCCGCGUACAUGCCACCGGGGCAUCCCGGAGGCAGGAAAGGCUUCGGCCGGACAGGGAUGGGCAUGCGGCGCAUUAGGCAGUAGGCGGGGUAACGGCCCACCUAACCGACGAUGCGUAGGGGUUCUGAGAGGAAGGUCUCCCACACUGGUACUGAGACACGGACCAGACUCCUACGGGAGGCAGCAGUGAGGAAUAUUGGUCAAUGGUCGGGAGACUGAACCAGCCAAGCCGCGUGAGGGAUGAAGGUACAGAGUAUCGUAAACCUCUUUUGUCAGGGAACAAAGGCGGGGACGUGUCCCCGGAUGAGUGUACCUGAAGAAAAAGCAUCGGCUAACUCCGUGCCAGCAGCCGCGGUAAUACGGAGGAUGCGAGCGUUAUCCGGAUUUAUUGGGUUUAAAGGGUGCGCAGGCGGUCUGUUAAGUCAGCGGUCAAAGCCCGGGGCUCAACCCCGGCCCGCCGUUGAAACUGGCAGUCUCGAGUUGGAGAGAAGUAUGCGGAAUGCGCGGUGUAGCGGUGAAAUGCAUAGAUAUCGCGCAGAACUCCGAUUGCGAAGGCAGCAUGCCGGCUCCACACUGACGCUGAGGCACGAAAGCGUGGGUAUCGAACAGGAUUAGAUACCCUGGUAGUCCACGCAGUAAAC
rnacentral:rRNA from 1 species